rnacentral:rRNA from 1 species
CCUACGGGAGGCAGCAGUGGGGAAUAUUGGACAAUGGGGGGAACCCUGAUCCAGCCAUGCCGCGUGUGUGAAGAAGGCCCUCGGGUUGUAAAGCACUUUCAGUGAGGAAGAACGCCUGGUGGUUAAUACCCAUCAGGAAAGACAUCACUCACACAAGAAGCACCGGCUAACUCCGUGCCAGCAGCCGCGGUAAUACGGAGGGUGCGAGCGUUAAUCGGAAUUACUGGGCGUAAAGCGCGCGUAGGUGGCUUGAUAAGCCGGUUGUGAAAGCCCCGGGCUCAACCUGGGAACGGCAUCCGGAACUGUCAAGCUAGAGUGCAGGAGAGGAAAGUAGAAUUCCCGGUGUAGCGGUGAAAUGCGUAGAGAUCGGGAGGAAUACCAGUGGCGAAGGCGGCCUACUGGACUGAAACUGACACUGAGGUGCGAAAGCGUGGGUAGCAAACAGGAUUAGAUACCCUUGUAGUC